rnacentral:rRNA from 1 species
UGGGGAAUAUUGCACAAUGGGCGCAAGCCUGAUGCAGCCAUGCCGCGUGUAUGAAGAAGGCCUUCGGGUUGUAAAGUACUUUCAGUCGGGAGGAAGGUGGUAAGGUUAAUAACCUUAUCAAUUGACGUUACCGACAGAAGAAGCACCGGCUAACUCCGUGCCAGCAGCCGCGGUAAUACGGAGGGUGCAAGCGUUAAUCGGAAUUACUGGGCGUAAAGCGCACGCAGGCGGUUUGUUAAGUCAGAUGUGAAAUCCUCGGGCUCAACCUGGGAACUGCAUCUGAUACUGGCAAGCUUGAGUCUCGUAGAGGGGGGUAGAAUUCCAGGUGUAGCGGUGAAAUGCGUAGAGAUCUGGGGGAAUACCGGUGGCGAAGGCGGCCCCCUGGACGAAGACUGACGCUCAGGUGCGAAAGCGUGGGGAGCAAACAGG